rnacentral:sRNA from 1 species
UGCUACCUUCUUAACAUCCUAUGUGUGUACUUCACACUACUUUCAUAAUUAUACCUACAAUCAUCUCUUACAAUUCUAAUUGCUCUAAACUUUAUUUGAGUGGUCUGUUGUUACACACACCUACAAUAAAGCAUGCAACAUUAGUUAAAACACACAACAUUAGUUAAAACACACAAGAUGGUUUUGACAUGCACAAGAUCCCUUGAAAAUCAAUCUGAAUCUUCUACUGCCUCCGAUGAUCACAAUGCAUGUUUGCAACAGUUGAAUGAUCAAAUUUGUGAAUGAGAGCAGCAAUUAGCUAUUCUGCAUGCACAACAGCAGCUCAAUGAGUUGAAAGUGCAGAUUCAUGGAGAUACUCUCAUCAAGCCUCAAUUAACUCAGAAUAUCACCACAGAACCACUGCAAAAUCGAUCUGCAAAUGAUAUGAAUGAUGAUAAUGAAACACCACCAAGGUUGGAGAUUAAGGACUAUUAUCAAGGAAAAAAUAUGUUAGAAUUCAAGAACUAUAAAGAUUGCAUGUUGACUCUCUUUACACACCAUCACUGGUAUUAUUGAAAGAAAGAACACAAGAUAAAUGAUGCUAAACUCUACCUUGAUGCCCACAUUAAGCAGAAGUGGUUGAAUUUUGUAUCAUCAUAUAAGAGAUAUGGAGGAGCAACACUGUUGACUUUUGAUGAUAUGUUAUCACAUCUAGAAAUGCAAAUUAACAAUCCACAGAACCAGCACCAAUUAGUGAGUCAAAAGUUUCAAGAUGUGAAGCAACAAGAAUGGCAAUUGAUACACAAUUUCUCUAAAUAUCUCAAAGACUGAGAAUACUACUUACUCUCAUAUAGUGAAGAACAAAGAAUGGAUAACUUGUGUAGUAAGACAUUGAAGAUAUUACACACAGAACUCAACUGUCAAAAUCAAGAGCCUCAGAACUAUAAAGAGUUGCUUCAAACUCUACAGACUCUCAAGGAAAAUAUGUCAGAGUGACAGUGUGCUAUCCACAAAGAAAGACCUGCAAUAUUCAUAGAGAAUCAGCAUCAUUCUGAUAAAUCUAGCAACUGUCAGAACAAGAGGAAAUGAGAGAAAUAAACAGAUUCAACUGAACAAAUCAAGAAAGAUAAAUAUAACUGGAUGAAGAAGUGUUCUCACUGCCAUAAGAAGAGUCAUAUCACAAAUAAUUGUUGGAUGUUACACUCUGAAAAGCACAACCAAGUUUGACAAGCAAAAAAUCAACAAUCCCAAUUGUAGAAGCAGCUGCUGCAUUGAGAAUACAAACAACUAGACUGUGAGAUAAAUGAUUAUUGAUGAUGAAUACAUGAAUGCUGACAGAAGCAGAAUGGUUGAUGAUGUGAAUGCUAGUGGAUUCUGAUGCAGAUGUGAACUUUGUGUCCCACAUCUGGGCAUCAAAAUAUUUCUCAAAGACAGAAAGUAAAUCAAAAGUAGUGGAAGCAGUUGAUAAUCAUAAGAUUAAAUUAUAUGAACAACAAAGAGCUGCAAUGAAGAUUAUUGAUGAUGAACACAUCCUUCAAGAAGAAUUCCACCAUUUCAAAGAGGC